AUCAGCCCAGAGCCCGCCGCGGGGCUCGAACCCACGGACCGCGAGAUCGUGACCUGAGCUGAAGUCAGACGCUUAACCGACUGCGCCACCCAGGCGCCCCUAGAGUAAACUUUCAAUUGAACCAACCCACCUUGAUAAAGUAGAGCCAUGGCAAGAAUAAGCUACAGCUGUAAAAUCCAGACUAAUUUCUACUUGAGUUGAGGCAGAGGGGGAAAAAAAUGUGUUUUUGCUAAACUAACUAUCUACAUUUGGGUAUACGUUAUCUUAGGGCAAAGGCCAACAGGCGGUGCAAUCCCAUUCACAAUAGGACCAAAAAAAAAAAAAAUCACUGAAAAUAAUUCGUAACAGUGAAUGAUCUGUCUUUGCUAACAUGCUCUUUGUUGAAAACAAAUAUUAACCUUCUAACACUUCUUUCGAAGCAACGACUUCAGGGCAUUUUCAGACCAGGUUAAAGAUGCACGAGGUGGCCGUGUUGCCAGCCCGAGGCCACAUUCAAAGAAAAGCUAGGGCUCAAACUUGCCACUUCCUCUCUUCUCUUCCCCGCGGCUGCGUCUUUGCCUGGCACUCGGCUCCUCCGAAAGCAGGUUUCCCAGCCGUGUUUCCAGGUUAAAAACUCAGAACCUCAAUUCAUCUGUGAGCAUAUGGAUCACAUCCUCGGAUAACUACACCAUGGUGAGACGGGAGAAGGGGCCGCCCGGCCUCUGACCAGCUUCCUGUUUGAGAUGAGCCUUCUGCUGCGGAUAACGUCCGUGAGAAGGAGUGCUAACCACGACGCCAUGGAUGCCAUGACAGCAAGGCCUUUCUUCGCGGCUCCCCAUGGUGAUCAGGGCCCAGGACGUUGACCAGGAUCGGCCAACAAGGUGGCUACCGCCUGGGUUUUGGGUUUGCAGCGGGAGGCACGAAGACGAAAGAAGUUUCAGCAGCAGCAGAAGCCAUAAGCCUGGCGCUGGCACUUUGUGGCCGUGCCCAGCCGUGGGACCUCUGGCCGCAGUGUCCUGCUGAGGAAAGUUCUUCUUCUUCCACAAGCCUUUGGUUUUCAGCCGGGUUUCCAAGUCUGAUUCGUCAGCUCCUGUCAGUUCUGGAGGCCAGAGGUAUUUCUCCAGUAACUUCCAGUUGGGGUUGACACAGCCAGAGCUGGUGCAGUUCCGGCAGCCAGAGACCCUGACCCGUCUGCGAGGAAACAGAUUUGAAGGCCAAAGAGCUUGUUCAGGGACCCCAGCUAACAAGUAGCCAUGUUCUGGCUGAGAAAUCGGUGCUGUUACCUUGAUUCCGUGCUUCCCAAAGAAUUGGAAAGAGUUGGAGAAGACGAAUGAGCGUCGGGUACGGGUCAGAGCAGGGCUUGAAGACCGGCACCUAUAUGAACGCUUACCCCCCCAAACCCACAUUCAGUAACACCCAUAAAUGAAUGUAUCUGCUCUAUGCCAGGGACUCUGCUAUGUUCAAAUAGUAUUUCAGUUAAUCCUCAGACGGGGGGACAUUAUUUUCUCCACUGGGUGGAAAAACUGAGGCUGGCAGGGGUUUGUAUUAUAAUAAGUGUUAGUGCUGGGUGUGAACCGGGGUCUCCAGACAAGGAGGCUGGAGCUCAUUCAUUAAGCCACAGCUCCCUUGCUGUGACAUUUACUCAAUCAAUCGAUGUUUUCUCCACUGCCGAUUUUCCAUUAACCCCACUGUGGCCCCAGCACGACCUCAUCAAUGUGUUCUUGAUGGCAUGCUUCCUUGCGUGUGGUCUUAACCCUGGGUCCCAGAGUGUUAUCAUCUGUCUCUGUUCCUUUAGACUGGGAGCCUCCAGAGCACAGGGCCAGGCCUUCCCACUAAGGAUAUUCCUUCCGGAACAUACGUCUCUGAUGUCCACGCGGGGCUCCGCCAUGGCAGGCCACCGGCCUGGGGUCCGUUGACUGGCCAACCGAAUCACUGUAUCCAGAGGAGAGAAGGGCUUCCUCUUGGCUACAGCGCUCCCAACACUGUAAGAUGCGAGUUUGUCCUCCUCUUCUGUUCAGCCCUGCCUACCCCCACCUCCCUUACAGCUUCAAGGGAAAUCAUGCCUUUGCUUACUGGACUGUAAAAUGGAGCUGAAAAUCUUCAUUGGCAGAAUAAAUACCAGAUGUCUUGCAGUCUUCUGAGGCAGAACCCUUGCCCAGACCUGGCUCCUGAUGGCCGACGAAUACGCUGUCAUUUGUGUUUUGGAAUUAAGAAAACUGAGUUCCCACGUUUCCUACUGUCACAAGGAGCAGCGAAUUGAAUCGGUGCCAUUGUAAGCUCGAUGGUUGUUGCAUAGAUAAAGCCCUCAUUAAGUCCCUCAAGAGAAGAAAAGAAUUUUAUUUUGAAGAUAGAGGAGUUGGGGGGGGGGUGCUUCUUGCUUGUCAGCAGUUAUAACAACAAAACAGUAAAUGGAGGAAAUAAUUAAAUAACCGCACUUUCCCCCCCCACCCCCCCACACCUCGUCAAGGGGCUGGGUGAGUUUUUAAUUAGUGCUUCGUUUUCAAUAAAUCUGUAUCUGUA